rnacentral:rRNA from 1 species
AACGAACGCUGGCGGCAGGCCUAACACUUGCAAGUCGAGCGAAGCCUUCGGGCUUAGCGGCGGACGGGUGAGUAACGCGUGGGAACGUGCCCUUUGGUACGGAAUAGCCCCGGGAAACUGGGAGUAAUACCGUAUGUGGUCGAGAGACGAAAGAUUUAUCGCCAAAGGAUCGGCCCGCGUUGGAUUAGGUAGUUGGUGGGGUAAUGGCCUACCAAGCCGACGAUCCAUAGCUGGUUUGAGAGGAUGAUCAGCCACACUGGGACUGAGACACGGCCCAGACUCCUACGGGAGGCAGCAGUGGGGAAUCUUAGACAAUGGGGGAAACCCUGAUCUAGCCAUGCCACGUGAUCGAUGAAGGCCUUAGGGUUGUAAAGAUCUUUCAGUGGGGAAGAUAAUGACUGUACCCACAGAAGAAGCCCCGGCUAACUCCGUGCCAGCAGCCGCAGUAAGAC